rnacentral:rRNA from 1 species
AUUGAACGCUGGCGGCAUGCCUUACACAUGCAAGUCGAACGGCAUCGCGGGAAAGCUUGCUUUCCUGGCGGCGAGUGGCGAACGGGUGAGUAACACAUCGGAACGUACCGGCUAGUGGGGGAUAACCCGUCGAAAGACGGGCUAAUACCGCAUACGCUCUUCGGAGGAAAGCAGGGGACCUUUGGGCCUUGCGCUAGUCGAGCGGCCGAUGUCCGAUUAGCUAGUUGGUGGGGUAAAGGCCUACCAAGGCGACGAUCGGUAGCGGGUCUGAGAGGACGAUCCGCCACACUGGGACUGAGACACGGCCCAGACUCCUACGGGAGGCAGCAGUGGGGAAUCUUGGACAAUGGGGGCAACCCUGAUCCAGCAAUGCCGCGUUGGUGAAGAAGGCCUUCGGGUUGUAAAGCCCUUUCGGCAGGGAAGAAAUCGGCGGGGCGAAUAACCCUGCUGGAUGACGGUACCUGCAGAAGAAGCACCGGCUAACUACGUG